AACUCUCAAGUCUACUGCCGCCCUCCCUUCUCCCAUUCGGCCUCUCCGUCACUCGUCUGGUACAGCCGUGCGCCUCCCGCCGAUCGUUCCUCUGCUCCACACUGUCAACGUCGUUCUACGAUCGGUUCCUGCGUCCGCUGGUCUGCUUGCUUCUUUGCUCUUCUCCGCCGCUUCCUCUACUCCAAUCUUACCGUCGGGUGCUGCUCCUCGCCGCGCCCUCAGUCACUGCACGAUAAUCUUUUGAAGGAAGAGGUAUUUUAUUUUAUCAUAUAAUUAAGCUAGUAAUUACUUAGUGAAUCUCCACCAUCUUCGGCUUGUCCUAAGCUUAAAGGAUGGCAGAAGAAGAGGGAUGAUUCGACAGCACUUGAGCUACUCCAAUUUCCUUGUCUUUCAAAUUUCUAUUGUAAUAACUGCCCGAAUUUGACCUCCAUCCCUCAGUUUCCAUCUCUCGAUCAAUCACUACAUUUGCAGAAAGCAAGCCCACAAGUUGUGCACCAAAUAUUCACACCAUCAAUCUCUUCUUCUUCGUCAAUCUUCCUCCUCUCUCUAAAUUGAAGCACCUUUGGAUUGUGAACAUUGAAGAGCUCGAAUCCCUACCUCCAGAUGGACUGCGGAAUCUCACUUGUCUUCAAGAAUUAAGUUUUUGGUCUUGCCCGGCAUUGAAGUGUCUGCCUCAAGAUUGCAUUCCCUCACCUCUUUACGAAUGUUGGAUAUCCGGGACUGUCCCCAAUUGAAGAAGAGAAGUGGAAAUAAAAAGGGUGAGGAUUGGGAAUUCAUUUCACACAUCCAAAAUAUUGAAGUUGAUAGACAAACAAUUCAAUAGGAGGGCCGGUAUCUACUGGAUGAUGAAGCUUCGAUCAAUGAAGGAUAAGUUUUCAACUGUUGGAUGUGUUUCUUCCAAAAUGAGCACUGUAUUGCUUUUGAGUUCGUAAGUAUCCUUUUGUCAUUAUUUCUUUACAAUCAAGGUCAA